AAAAUCGGUAUCAAAAUGUUCAGUUUUGUCAGUGUGAUGUGGGGUGGUGACAGGUAUUGUAGAUAAUUAUGACGAUAUGCAAUGAUAUGUAUCUAGUAUGAUAAUGUUAUUAUGGUGUUGAUGAUGCUGAUGAUGAUGACGGUAUGGUGGAUAUUAUGAUAUUAUGACGAUAUGACAAUAAUGUUGUUCAUAAUGAUGAUGUUUAUGCUAUUAUGAUAAUAUGGUGAUAUUCAGUUUGUGUCUAAAUGAUCAUAACGAUAUGAUGAUGAUGAUGGUAAGAUGAUGAUUUGGUGACAAUAUGGCGUUGAUAGCGAUUAAAUUACGAUCAUAAAUAUGAAAUAGUUAUGAUUAAUGAUGAUGAUAAUGAUAUAACAUGAUGAUGAUAUGACGAUACAAUAAUGCUGAGAGGAAAAUGAUUACCAUGAUGGUACGUUAUAAGAAUAACAUGAUAUGAUAUUACACGAUAAUAUGUUUUGAUUACGAUGAUGAUAUGGUAUAACGAAUCAGUUAGGUUCUUUGUGAUGGCAUGAUAAUGAUGGCAAUAAUGAUUGUGAUAUUACGAAAUGAUAAUGAUAUGAAAUCAUGUUGGUACAUUAUAGUACUUUAAGGACGAUGGUGAUGUCGUUGAUGGUAAAGAUGACAAUGGUGAUAAUAUUCUGACGAUGAUAAGACAAUAAUGGCGACGAUGAUGUCGUUGAUGAUGUUGACAAUUACUUAUCUCAAUAAUUAUGAAAAUGUUCCACAUUACUAAUUCGUUUUAAUAUAUUGUAAUAAUUAAGUAUUUCAGUUUGCUAGCAAUACUCCAACAUUAGGGGGAAACAUCAGGUAAAAUGAAUCAAAGGUAAAAGUACAAGAGAACAUGUCGUCUAGUUUCAGCUACAAAUAUAAAGGUAACGGUUAUGGUAAAACAGAAUACAGAUUGAACGUCAUUAUAAAUGGUAAAAAAGUAUCUUGUUUACGUCUUAAAUUAGCGAAGGUGAGUUAUUUUUUUUAUUUACCUUAAUGUAAUGCAGCGUUCUGUGUUUUGAUUGGACGAAUUUUAUUUCAUAAAAUAUUUAGUGGCCCUCAAUACACAUGUGUCCGUAUGUGCAUUUCGGUAUGGCAUAUAGCAAUUUAUGAACUGAGGUGAACAUUGAGCAAUUCGCCUCACUUUCUCAUCGGCUGUGAAUGGAGAAAUCUCUGCCAUUUGCCAGUUUCUUCAUGGUCAGUCUAUAAAAUAGGCUUUUGCCACUUUGCGUUGCCUGUAAGUUGCUAUGCCAUUUAGCUAGUGAUUGUUCUUGUGUUCAUAUUCAUUUCUUAAAAUUUAAACAUGCUAUAUGCCAUGAUAUCAAUGAAAUAAAGUCGCGGCCAUUUCCCAUCUA